CACCUCCGCCUUUACCACGGAUCGUCCGGCACGUACCUGCCGGUGAAGGAGAAGAGA
rfam:Streptomyces sp. NRRL F-6602 F6602contig21.1, whole genome shotgun sequence.